rnacentral:rRNA from 1 species
UACGGGGGGGGGCAAGCGUUGUUCGGAAUUACUGGGCGUAAAGGGCUCGUAGGCGGCCAACUAAGUCAGACGUGAAAUCCCUCGGCUUAACCGGGGAACUGCGUCUGAUACUGGAUGGCUUGAGUUUGGGAGAGGGAUGCGGAAUUCCAGGUGUAGCGGUGAAAUGCGUAGAUAUCUGGAGGAACACCGGUGGCGAAGGCGGCAUCCUGGACCAAUACUGACGCUGAGGAGCGAAAGCCAGGGGAGCAAACGGGG